GACGAACGCUGGCGGCGUGCUUAACACAUGCAAGUCGAACGGAAAGGCCCUGCUUUUGUGGGGUGCUCGAUUGGCGAACGGGUGAGUAACACGUGAGUAACCUGCCCUUGUCUUUGGGAUAACAUCAGGAAACUGGGGCUAAUACCGGAUAGGAUCUCCUGCUGCAUGGUGGGGGUUGGAAAGUUUCGGCGGUUGGGGAUGGACUCGCGGCUUAUCAGCUUGUUGGUGGGGUAGUGGCUUACCAAGGCUUUGACGGGUAGCCGGCCUGGGAGGGUGGCCGGGGACAAUGGGCCUGCGAGACGGACCAGACGGCAACGGGAGGCAGCGGGCGGGAGUCUUGCACAGUGGGCGCGCGUGUGUUGCAGCGGCGUUCCGUGCGUGAUGACGGCCUUUGGGGUAUGAACCGCUGUCGCCUGAGACGAAGCGGUAGUGACGGUAAUGAAUAAAGAAGCACCGGCUAACUACGUG
rnacentral:rRNA from 1 species